CACCGUAGGACUGGCCGUCCCAUAUGAAAAGAUUAUAUUAGAAUUGAAUGAAGCUUUGUUUAUAUAUUGAUAAUGACAGUAUAUAUAUCGUGUCUUGACUAAUUGCGUGCCAGCAGUCGCGGUAAUACGUAAGAGACUAGUGUUAUUCAUCUUAAUUAGGUUUAAAGGGUACCCAGACGGUCAAUAUAGCUUAUAAAAUGUUAGUACUUGACUAGAGUUUUAUGUAAGAGGGCAGUACUUGAGGAGGAGAGAUGAAAUUUCGUGAUACCAAAGGGACUCUGUAAAGGCGAAGCAGCCCUCUAUGUAAAAACUGACGUUGAAGGACGAAGGCACAGAGAACAAACAGGAUUAGAUACCCAAGUAGUCUUUGCAGUAAAUGAUGAAUGCCAUAGGUUAGAUUGGUCAAUUAUAGUCUAGGGUUAGUCUAGCAAACUAAUACCUAUACUAUUAUACCUAAUAUCUGGUCUAUAAAUGAAAGUGUAAGCAUUUCACCUCAAGAGUAAUGUGGCAACGCAGGAC
rnacentral:rRNA from 1 species